ACCCCAACACACUAUUAAGGUUGGAGAGUGGUAAUGUUUGGUUCACAUUGGACUGAUACUCUCCUUAAAUGGCUUUAUGCUAGUUUAAUCUCAUUUGUAAAAUCUUUAUGAGAAGGUUCUCAUUUAAAAUGAGAUAGUUUCAUUGUGUAUGUACUAAAGAGUAAGCUGUCUUUAGCAGAAAUUGAUUGAUGUAAUGAAAAUAGCAUUCCAUGGGGCUUCCUCAGAUCCCUAAAGUGGCUUUUUCUCUGCGGUAUUUCUGGAUCCCCCUGACAUCAGAGAAUUGAAAAGAAAGAAGUGGCCAACUGCUGUUCUUACAUGACUUAACUUAUGACUUCUCUUUCUCUGAAAUUGCCUUCCAUGCUCACUGAACCAGGAGUGGACCUGGUCAAUUAGACAUUCUCAUUUGAAAAUCUGGAGUUGGACAGCAAGAGUUUGACCAAGUUUCUCAAAUGUGGCAAGAUUUAAAGCGUUUCAUUUCAGUAGCUUUAAAGAUCAGAUUAUUCUAUACAGUCUGAGAAACAGGGAUACACUUUUAAAUGGUUGCUUACAGAACAAAAUUACAGAAGAAAAUAAAGGUAGUAGACUUACGAGAAUUUAAAGAAGAUAAACAAUAAUAAAAAAAAAAAAGCCCAGGAAUUGCUUCAUUAAGAGUCAUAAUCCUUGGACAUGAUUAAAAAAAAGUAAGAGUCAGUACAAACCUAAGAGACAGCUUAUUUGUACUUUAAAUAAGUUAUAGUAAAUUAUUGCUUAUUACAUUUAAUAAAUGUGUUAAAGGAG
rnacentral:lncRNA from 1 species